GGCCUCCUGAUGCUUACCACAGGCUAUGUUCUUACACUGAUUGUACAGAAAUAGGUAUAGCAGAGUAAACCUACCUCAUAUACACUUCAGCUCAGGCCCUUUGCCUGGUCUGUAUUGUGAAUGGGGAGAUACUG